rnacentral:misc_RNA from 1 species
AACAGUUUGUGUUAUUGCCUGCUUAUUGUCUGUCAGAUCUGAUGCUGCUCUUCUCUGGAGUCUGGACUAUGAGAGAGAAGUCACUAAACACAGAAGUAUAGGAUCCUCUUCGAGGGAUGAGGAUAUGCUAUAAGGGGGGUAUUAUAUCCCGUAAAAAUCAUCAAAAGGGUUUGUCAUUGCAGGCAGGCCGCCCUAGUACUUAUCUGGUCUGCUAUCCGACCCUGGAAUUAGACAGCACGGCAGCUAUUUAUGCUAUUAAUGCACUCUCUUCUACACUUGGGCAUGAGCAGCUGCAUGGCCUGGCUAGCUUGUAUAGUUAUAGGUACUUCUUUUCAUGAGUCUUACUGAUCAGUUUAUGUGACUUAGCCCCG